ACGGAAGGCAGCAGUGAGGAAUAUUGGUCAAUGGGCGGAAGCCUGAACCAGCCAUCUCGCGUGAAGGAAUACGGCCCUACGGGUCUUAAACUUCUUUUAUAGGGGGAUAAAGUGAGGCAUGUAUGCCUUUUUGUAGGUACCCUAUGAAUAAGCAUCGGCUAACUCCGUGCCAGCAGCCGCGGUAAUACGGAGGAUGCGAGCGUUAUCCGGAUUUAUUGGGUUUAAAGGGUGCGCAGGCGGCACGUUAAGUCAGCGGUGAAAUGUCAGGGCUCAACCUUGGCACUGCCGGAGAUACUGGCGGCCUUGAGAGUGGCGGAGGUAUCCGGAAUGUGUGGUGUAGCGGUGAAAUGCAUAGAUAUCACACAGAACACCGAUUGCGAAGGCAGGAUACCAUACCAUAUCUGACGCUCAGGCACGAAAGCGUGGGGAUCGAACAGGAUUAGAUACCCUGGUA
rnacentral:rRNA from 1 species